rnacentral:rRNA from 1 species
UAGUACGGCGAGUGAAGAGGGAAAAGCUCAAAGUUGGAACCUGGCUGCCCUAGGCAGUCCGGAUUGUAAACUAAAGAGCGUGAUUCCAGGCAAGCCGGUUGACCAAGUCCUUUGGAAUGAGGCGCCACUGAGGGUGAGAGCCCCGUAAGUCGACUGAGCAUUUGUCUUUUGUGCUUCGCGUUCAAAGAGUCAGGUUGUUUGGGAAUGCAGCCUAAAGCUGGUGGUAAAUCCCACCUAAAGCUAAAUACAGGCGAGAGACCGAUAGCGAACAAGUACCGUGAGGGAAAGAUGAAAAGAACUUUGAAAAGAGAGUUAAACAGUAUGUGAAAUUGCCAAGAGGGAAGCAUUUGGAGUUAGAUUGACUAGGAGUUAAUCAGCUUGGUCUUUGGACUGGGUGUACUUGACUUCUUACAGUCUGCCAAUAGCAGUUAGUCCUAGUGGAAAAAACCAGAGGGAAGGUAGUCCUUCGGGAUGUUUAUAGACCUUUGGAAAAUACACUGGGAUUGACUGAGGAAUGCAGUAGAUGCCACUAAGGCUUCGUCUAGUGGGUGCUAGGCAAAGGUACUUGGUAUUUUCAGCUUGCUGAUGUGCUAGGUUACUCGAGUCUAGUCGCCUACUAGAACUGUAAUCUACUUUGGUUAUUGGCUUAAUGACUCUAAAUGGC